rnacentral:rRNA from 1 species
UACAGAGGUCUCAAGCGUUGUUCGGAUUCAUUGGGCGUAAAGGGUGUGUAGGUGGCGCCGUAAGUCGGGUGUGAAAUUUCGGAGCUUAACUCCGAAACUGCAUUCGAUACUGCGGUGCUUGAGGACUGGAGAGGAGACUGGAAUUUACGGUGUAGCGGUGAAAUGCGUAGAUAUCGUAAGGAAGACCAGUGGCGAAGGCGGGUCUCUGGACAGUUCCUGACGCUGAGGCACGAAGGCUAGGGGAGCAAACGGG